rnacentral:rRNA from 1 species
AUUGAACGCUGGCGGCGUGCUUAACACAUGCAAGUCGAACGUGAAAGUCCUUCGGGGCGAGUAAAGUGGCGCACGGGUGAGUAACGCGUGGAUAAUCUACCCUUAAGAUGGGGAUAACGGCUGGAAACGGUCGCUAAUACCGAAUACGCUCCCGAUUUUAUCGUUGGGGGGAAAGAUGGCCUCUGCUUGCAAGCUAUCGCUUAAGGAUGAGUCCGCGUCCCAUUAGCUAGUUGGCGGGGUAACGGCCCACCAAGGCGACGAUGGGUAGCCGGUCUGAGAGGAUGACCGGCACACUGGAACUGGAACACGGUCCAGACUCCUACGGGAGGCAGCAGUGGGGAAUAUUGCGCAAUGGGCGAAAGCCUGACGCAGCGACGCCGCGUGAGGGAUGAAGGUUCUCGGAUCGUAAACCUCUGUCAGGGGGGAAGAAACCCCCUCGUGUGAAUAAUGCGAGGGCUUGACGGUACCCCCAAAGGAAGCACCGGCUAACUCCGUGCCAGCAGCCGCGGUAAUACGGAGGGUGCAAGCGUUAAUCGGAAUCACUGGGCGUAAAGCGCACGUAGGCGGCUUGGUAAGUCAGGGGUGAAAUCCCACAGCCCAACUGUGGAACUGCCUUUGAUACUGCCAGGCUUGAGUACCGGAGAGGGUGGCGGANUUCCAGGUGUAGGAGUGAAAUCCGUAGAUAUCUGGAGGAACACCGGUGGCGAAGGCGGCCACCUGGNCGGUAACUGACGCUGAGGUGCGAAAGCGUGGGUAGCAAACAGGANUANAUACCCUGGUAGUCCACGCUGUAAACGAUGGGUGCUGGGUGCUGGGAUGUAUGUCUCGNUGCCNNNNNNACGCGAUAAGCACCCCGCCUGGGGGAGUACGGUCGCAAGGCUGAAACUCAAGAAAUUGACGGGGGCCCGCACAGCGGUGGAGUAUGUGGUUUAAUUCGAUGCAACGCGAAGGCCCUUACCCAGGCUGGACAUCUAGAAACCCUUCGGAAAUGAAGGGUGCCCUUCGGGAUCCC